rnacentral:rRNA from 1 species
GACGAACGCUGGUGGCGUGCCUAAUACAUGCAAGUUGAGCGCUGAAGGUUGGUACUUGUACCAACUGGAUGAGCAGCGAACGGGUGAGUAACGCGUGGGGAAUCUGCCUUUGAGCGGGGGACAACAUUUGGAGACGAAUGCUAAUACCGCAUAAAAACUUUAAACACAAGUUUUAAGUUUGAAAGAUGCAAUUGCAUCACUCAAAGAUGAUCCCGCGUUGUAUUAGUUAGUUGGUGAGGUAAAGGCUCACCAAGGCGAUGAUACAUAGCCGACCUGAGAGGGUGGUCGGCCACAUUGAGACUGGGACACGGCCCAAACUCCUACGGGAGGAAGCAGUAGGGAAUCUUCGGCAAUGGACGAAAGACUGACCGAGCAACGCCGCGUGAGUGAAGAAGGGUUUCGGAUCGUAAAACUCUGUUGGUAGAGAAGAACGUUGGUGAGAGUAGAAAGCUCAUCAAGUGACGGUAACUACCCAGAAAGGGACGGCUAACUACGUG